AUUGAACGCUGGCGGCAUGCUUUACACAUGCAAGUCGAACGGCAGCGCGGGCUUCGGCCUGGCGGCGAGUGGCGAACGGGUGAGUAAUGCAUCGGAACGUGCCCAGUAGUGGGGGAUAGCCCGGCGAAAGCCGGAUUAAUACCGCAUACGACCUGAGGGUGAAAGCGGGGGACCGAAAGGCCUCGCGCUAUUGGAGCGGCCGAUGUCGGAUUAGCUAGUUGGUGGGGUAAAGGCUUACCAAGGCGAUGAUCCGUAGCUGGUCUGAGAGGACGACCAGCCACACUGGGACUGAGACACGGCCCAGACUCCUACGGGAGGCAGCAGUGGGGAAUUUUGGACAAUGGGGGCAACCCUGAUCCAGCCAUGCCGCGUGCGGGAAGAAGGCCUUCGGGUUGUAAAGCGCUUUUGUUCGGGAAGAAAUCCUCUGGGCUAAUACCCCGGGGGUAUGACGGUACCGGAAGAAUAAGCACCGGCUAACUACGUG
rnacentral:rRNA from 1 species